UCCCUGCUCCUCUCUCUGAGCUCGAGCCUCUCUUCCCCUCUCUGCUUCACGAGUUCUCCUCCCGAAACCUGCGCGAGACGGCAACUGAAGCGCGAGGCUAUCCCCCCCUCUCUCCCCAGUCAACAUGUCUACAGUUCCACUCUCGACCAGAUUCACUGACGAAUAUCAGCUGUUUGAGGAACUCGGAAAGGGUGCCUUUUCUAUUGUCCGCCGAUGCAGCAAGAAGUCCACCGGCCAGGAGUAUGCUGCUAAAAUUAUCAACACGAAAAAGCUGUCAGCCAGAGGUUACCAGAAACUGGUC